rnacentral:lncRNA from 1 species
UUGGCAUCUUUUAAAUCAAAUUAACUUGCAAUACAUUUGGAAAUAUUUAACAUAUGUACUGUUUUAUGCAAAACUAGAAACCAAACUAUUCUACCACGAAAAGGAAAAUCUACGCAUAAACAUACAUGAUAGAAUAUUGAUCUUAAACGAACAUAGCAACCAAACCAUAAACUUGUCAUGAUGGUGAUCUUGGCGUUCUGAAGCGAAGAAGUCGUCGAUAUUAAUAGCAAAGGACAUAUGUUAUCUACAUCCCCAAG